AGUUUUAAUCAGAACUUCGUCGAGUUCGGUUGUGGAGCUCGCUUUUUCUUUGGUUACAUAUUUUUUUGUAUUUACUUUCCUUUCAAUAUUUUUCACUUUAGUUUUUCUUUUUAUUUUCCAUUAUUUUAAUGUAUAUGAUUAUUUAAUCGAAAUUAUGUGACUUUUAUAUCUUGCUUUUUUUUUAUCGAGUUUAACAAGAUAUUAUUGUUCUUUAUGAAUACAAAUUAUUUUUUGACAAACAAUAAAAUAAUUACAAGUGAUUGAUUUCUUUGUCGAAUUUCGUUCGUUUACGUUCGUCAUAAUUGCAUUAGAUAAUCAAAAAGAACAAUCUAAUUGUACGCUAUUGUUUUGUGAUCGCAAUUCUAUGUGUGUUAAAAAGUCAUUAAACGAAAUUGUAGAUACUCCUGAAAAAUAUACCAUGCAAAAUAGACAUGAUAUGCAUAAUGAAGAGACGACUAAUGUAUCUCAUCAACGUAUGGAAAAAGUCAAAAAUAAUGCUAAAGUCACGGAAAACACAUCUUUGUCACCGACUACAAAUCAGACCUACUUCGCUAAUGAAAUAAUACCAAUACCUGAAAUAGAAGGAACUGGUUUUAGCUUCAGGAAAUUAUGGGCCUUUACAGGGCCUGGAUUUUUAAUGUCAAUCGCAUAUUUAGAUCCUGGUAAUAUAGAAUCUGAUUUGCAGUCUGGUACAACUGCCAACUAUAAGUUAUUAUGGGUUCUAUUAAGUUCUACGAUAUUGGGACUCGUUAUGCAAAGACUCAGCGCACGUUUAGGCGUGGUUACUGGAUUACAUUUAGCAGAAAUGUGUUAUAGACAAUAUAAAACAAUACCUCGGCUUAUUUUAUGGAUAAUGAUAGAAAUAGCUAUUAUAGGUAGUGACAUGCAAGAAGUAAUAGGAACAGCUAUUGCCUUAUAUUUAUUAUCAUACGGAAAACUUCCUCUAUGGGGUGGUGUACUUAUCACAAUAAUUGACACAUUUACAUUUUUAUUUUUGGACAAAUAUGGCUUACGAAAAUUGGAAUUUUUCUUUGGAUUAUUAAUUACUAUUAUGGGAGUUACUUUCGGUUAUGAGUAUGUUAUUUCAAAACCACCUCAAGAUCAAGUUGUAGAAGGAAUGUUUAUACCAUGGCUUAUGCAAUAUGACAGUAAAACAUUACUUCAGGCUGUAGGAAUCGUUGGUGCCGUUAUAAUGCCACAUAAUUUAUAUCUCCAUAGUGCUCUUGUGAAAUCAAGAGAUGUAGACCGAAGACAACCUGCCAAAGUUAGAGAUGCGAAUAUGUAUUAUUUUAUUGAAGCAAGUAUCGCACUUCUUGUUUCAUUCGUUAUUAAUGUAUUUGUGGUUUCUGUUUUUGCACACGGUCUCUUCGAUAAAACCAAUCAAAAUGUUUAUGAUACUUGUAAAACAAGUGAUAUUCAAAUAGAUGAUAAUUUAUUUCCUAGAGACAAUAACACAUUUGAAGCAGAUUUAUACAAGGGUGGUAUAUAUCUUGGUUGUUCAUUCGGUAUGGCAGCAAUGUAUAUUUGGGCUGUUGGUAUCUUAGCUGCUGGUCAAUCUUCUACAAUGACUGGAACUUAUGCAGGCCAGUUUGCAAUGGAAGGUUUCUUAAAUUUAAAAUGGGCUCGAUGGAAGCGAGUACUUUUUACUCGGACAAUUGCUAUUGUCCCUACAUUCUUAGUAGCAUUUUAUGCCGAUAUAGAACACAUGACUGGCAUGAAUGAUAUUUUAAAUGCUGUUAUGAGUCUGCAAUUACCCUUUGCUACCUUACCAACAAUAGCCUUUACUAGUAAUCCACAAAUAAUGGGAGAAUUUACAAAUGGAAUAGGAAAUAAAAUUGUUGCUACUGCUUUAUCUGCAGUAGUGAUAAUAAUAAAUAUUUAUUUUGUAAUAAAUACUGUACAAGAAGAAGUUCCUCAUCACUGGGCAAUAUGGUUUGGUAUUGCUAUAUUAGCGUUUUUAUACCUAAUAUUCUGUAUAUAUUUAAUAAUUCAUAUGGCAGUAAAUAUGGGAGCAAAAAUCCUCAGUAAUUAUUCGUUUGUUAGGAAAUACAUUAGUGGGCCCGUUGAUAAUAACUUUGGCCUAACCAAUCCUGCAAUAUAUGCAAGUUUCUUCAAUACAUCGGAAACAUCAUUAAGUACCUAGUUAUACAAGUGUAAUCAACUGUAUACAAUGCAACGAUUUUAUAAUUGACAUGUAUCUCAUAUUCAGCAAAUAUGAAUAUCAUUUCCAAAACUAUGCUUUUAUUAUUAUGAUGUCAGCAUAAUAUUGUAAAUGUAUGGGUUUGCAACGUUGAUUUUAUUUUCUAUUUACAAUAAUAAAGGACAAAUCCGGCAUUUUCAAUACAAGAAGGAUUAGGUGGAAGCUUUACAUCUCUAUCAAAUUUUUGAUGAUUAUUAACAAUAAAUACUAUUAUAUAAAUUACUUUUAAUCUUAAGCAUAAUUUUCUUAAAUGUUCAUAUUUUUAAUAUAAUAAUUUAUUCUCUUUUUCUUUCUUCUACAGUACAGUAUGCAUUAUACGCUUACAAAAGUAAAUAAAACAUUGAUAUUUCAAUUACA